rnacentral:lncRNA from 1 species
AAGAUUUGAAGAUACCUUUAAAAGAAUAAAAGAAAAACAAUCGAGGAAGCGUGUGUGAAACACUUAUUUGAUGAAGAUUUGGGUCCACAAUAUAUAAAGAACUCUUAGAAGUUAACAAGAAGAAAAAGACAUGGAAAAUCCUAGCACUUGAGAGGCUGAGACCAAGAGGGUGACAAGUUUGAGGUCCCAUGGUCUACAUUGUGAGACUCUGCCUAACUAUAACAAACAAAAAAGAAAACGCAGAUGGGCACAGCAGCAUACUCCUUUAGUCGUAGCACUCAAGAGAGUUCAAAGCCAGCCUGGACUACUGUCUUACAAACAAAAACAAUUUGCUAGGUGUGGCAACACACUUCUGUCAAACCAGCACUUGGAAUGGGGAAGAAGGAUCAGGAAUUCAAGACCAUCCUCAGCUACACAAUGAGCUCAUGGUUAGCCUGGGCUACACGAGACCUUGUCUUUAAAAAAA